rnacentral:rRNA from 1 species
GAAUGCUUUACACAUGCAAGUCGAACGGUAGAGGGGGCAACCCCUUGAGAGUGGCGAACGGGUGAGUAAUGUAUCGGAACGUGCCCAGUCGUGGGGGAUAACGUAGUGAAAAUUACGCUAAUACCGCAUACGAUCUAUGGAUGAAAGCGGGGGAUCGCAAGACCUCGCGCGACUGGAGCGGCCGAUAUCAGAUUAGGUAGUUGGUAGGGUAAAGGCCUACCAAGCCAACGAUCUGUAGCUGGUCUGAGAGGACGACCAGCCACACUGGAACUGAGACACGGUCCAGACUCCUACGGGAGGCAGCAGUGGGGAAUUUUGGACAAUGGGCGAAAGCCUGAUCCAGCCAUUCCGCGUGCAGGAUGAAGGCCCUCGGGUUGUAAACUGCUUUUGUACAGAACGAAAAGGUUUCUAUUAAUACUAGGAGCUCAUGACGGUACUGUAAGAAUAAGCACCGGCUAACUACGUGCCAGCAGCCGCGGUAAUACGUAGGGUGCAAGCGUUAAUCGGAAUUACUGGGCGUAAAGCGUGCGCAGGCGGUUAUAUAAGUCAGAUGUGAAAUCCCCGGGCUCAACCUGGGAACUGCAUUUGAGACUGUAUAGCUAGAGUACGGUAGAGGGGGAUGGAAUUCCGCGUGUAGCAGUGAAAUGCGUAGAUAUGCGGAGGAACACCGAUGGCGAAGGCAAUCCCCUGGACCUGUACUGACGCUCAUGCACGAAAGCGUGGGGAGCAAACAGGAUUAGAUACCCUGGUAGUCCACGCC